CAAUACUCUCUAGUAUGAGACUUCUCAAAUGCUCAAGCACGCAGGCGAGAGACUUCCAAUGCUCAAGCACUAAAGCAAGAGUCUUCUAAUGCUCAAGCACGCAGGCGAGAGGCUUCUAUUCAAACAAAAAUACACAGAAAAUGUUUGACUUUGAACACUUGAUAUACAAUCAGUGGUGUUCACAAUACAAUGCAAUAAAGACUCUAGACUUAAGAAUUUCUAAGAUGUAUCAAAUCAGUGCAGAAAUUCAAAGUGCUUUUUAGAAUCAAAUUUGGCAGAGUUUUGGCGCUUUUAACUUGUGUUGAUGUCUCUUGCCAAUCUUCAAGUCUUCACUCCUUUAUAUAGAGGUGUGAAAGAGACGUUGAGAUUUUUAGCACGUCUAAAGAGUCGUUGAGUUCCUUUGAUCAUCCACCAGUAAUCUUUUGCCUGAUUUGGGUGUAGUCCUUUGAAGAAUCAACUUCAAAUUCAUUCCCAUCUUGAAGGAACAUUUCUGCAGGCAGAGCUGUUGUCUUGUCUUGUAGCGUAGACAAAAACAGAGUAGUGGAGGUAGUAGUUGUACACUUGUACUUUGUCAACUCUGAUAACGAAGGACAA
rnacentral:lncRNA from 1 species